rnacentral:rRNA from 1 species
CACUGGGGACAAAUCUUUCAAAUAUCUGCCCUUUAAUCACUUUUAGCCAUGAACAUUAACAUAAAUGGAUGUUAGUAUAGAGGGCUUUCAUGGUUGCAACAGUUAACGGGGAAUCAGGGUUCGAUUCCAGAGAGGGAGCCUGAGAAAUGGUUCCAACAACUAGCCG